rnacentral:rRNA from 1 species
CCUACGGGAGGCAGCAGUGAGGAAUAUUGGUCAAUGGGCGGAAGCCUGAACCAGCCAAGUAGCGUGCGGGAUGAAGGCCCUACGGGUCGUAAACCGCUUUUGCACGGGGAUAACACCCUCCACUUGUGGAGGUCUGCAGGUACCGUGCGAAUAAGGGCUGGCUAAUUCCGUGCCAGCAGCCGCGGUAAUACGGAAGGCGCGAGCGUUUUCCGGAUUCAUUGGGCUUAAAGGGAGCGUAGGCGGGCGUUCAAGUCAGCGGUAAAAUUGCGCGGCUCAACCGCGCCCCGCAGUUGAAACUGGACGCCUUGAGUUCACAACAGGCAGGCGGAAUUCGUGGUGUAGCGGUGAAAUGCAUAGAGAUCACGAGGAACCCCGAUUGCGAAGGCAGCCUGCCGGGGUGCGACUGACGCUGAGGCUCGAAGGUGCGGGUAUCAAACAGGAUUAGAUACCCCUGUAGUC